rnacentral:lncRNA from 1 species
CUUUGUGGAUAUAUUCAUCUCAACUCAGAUAAUGGCACUUUAUACUACCCAUAAAAAACCAAAGUAAGGUAUAUGCUGAGAAGUGGAAUUGCUAGAUCAUACGAUGAGGAAACUGAUGUUGAAAAAUAUUAAGAAACUUGCCUGACAUCACACAGUUAGUACGUGGUAGAGCUGAAUUUGGAAUGCAUGUACUCAUUGUUUCCAUUGAUCCAUCUACACCAACAAAACCCCAACACUAGAUUAAAGUCUCUAACAGUUAUGUUUCUCUUGAUUUUGGGUCCUGUCCAAAUUUUGUUUCAAUGACAAAGCUUUUCUUUAUCCAGGAGUAUGUUUACCACACUGCUCACAAAACUAGUACUAUUAAAUUUUAAACAUUUUCCCC